UCAGGUCUUUCCUGUUUGUCACUGGCUGGGUGAGGGGCCAAAGGGAGUGGUGUGGCCAUGGGUGAGUGGAGGCCCCUGUGCCACUGGGGGGGCUACACAAGAUAGGGCAGAGGGACUGCUCAUGCUAAUGCAUUAAAAACUGAAGUUUAAGGUACUCUCCUUAAAGAAAGUGAGCUUAUGAGAUCACCCAGAAUUGUGUGUGUGUCCUCACCCCCAUAACUUUGCAAUACCUGGACCAAUAUGAACCAAAUCAGGUACAGUUGCAGGGACACCUCAAUGGCAUAGUUUAUGAUGUCAUCCACUCAGAUUCAAGAUAGCAGGUGCGUAAAUGUUUAAGGUUGAAGUGGGUUAACUUGUGAAGAUAGUAAUUAUCAAUUAAGAUUUUAGUGAAAAGAACUACGAACAUUUAGCCAGCGUGGUGCAGUGGUUAGAGUGCUGGACUAGGACCGGGGAGACCCGAGUUCAAAUCCCCAUUCAGCCAAAUGACUUGCUAGGUGACUCUGGGCCAGUCACUUCUCUCUCAGCCUAACCUACUUCACAGGGUUGUUGUGAGGAGGCACUUCAGUAUGUAGUACACAGCUUUGGGCUCCUUGGAGGAAGAGCGGGAUAUAAAAUGUAAAAAUAAAUAUACUGCUCUUCAACCAAAGUUCUCAAGGAAAAAGAAAAAUUUACACAGAAAAAUAAUACAUAUAUAAGAUGGACCCUUGUCUCCAGAGGACUCACAAUCUAAAAAAGAAACUUGAGGCAGAUACCAGCAACAUCCACUGGAGGGAUGCUGUGCUGGGGUUGGGUAGGGCCAGUUGCUCUCCCCCUGCUAAAUAUAAGAGAAUCUAUAUAAUUAAUAUGCUUUUAUAUAAUUAAUAUGCUUAGCCGGGAGUAAAUGUUAAUAAAGGGAGUAAAUGUUAGAGUGUAUAGCCAAAAGCCACAACUUAAUGUAUAUAAUUUUGGUUAGUUCCAGUAAAGACACUGCUAGAUUGUGCUUUUUGGUAUGUGAAACACUAUGAGCAUUUAAGAAAAUAUGGCAUGUAAAUAAUAUUGUAUUAUUAUUGUACCCUUGCUGCAAGUCUGGUUGGGUACUCCGAUUUCCACCCGCCAUUGAGACAUUACCUGUCCAGGGUGUACUGCCUGGCUGUCUGCAUACAGAAUUCGGCAGCUCCAAGAGCUCCCCAUGCAAUGCCAUAGCGAGCAUUGUUCAGGCAGCCAAAGGGGCCCUGUAGGAAGAAGAUGGUAUUAAAGCUUCAGAUAAGAAAUUCAUUGGGGUCCCCUUUGUUCUUGAAUCCAAAAUGGAGCCUCACACAGGGUAUUGCCCACAAGAAAACACCGCAUCCCGGCCUCCAAACCUCCGCACUGCUUGGGGCAGCUGGUGGCCAUCUGGGAGAGCAAUCAGCAUGCCCAGCAAGGACUGAGCAGUCGUCUGCAAGAAGGAGCACGUGAGGCGUAUAACCCAUCGAGAUGUCCUUGACCCCAGCAACUGAGAAUGGAAACUGGAAAAUGGCUUGAAAGAAAGAGAAGUGGAAAGGCAAAUUGGAAGACCAAGAAUUGGGAAGUAAGACAGAUGCCUGCCUAUAUGAAAAAAGUUAACAGCUUUAGCAUGAGAUUAGUGGAAACAGAAUAAAGAACAAUUGAAAAUGGAAAAGAUAUGUUCCAAUGUGCUGGGAAUUGUAUAAAACCAGGAUCAACCUGGGGUUACAAUCCUAGUUUGGAUGGAUUGCUCAAACCACUGUUUGUUAAUUAACUAAACAAUUAAUUAAGUCCCCAUGUGACAGGAAGACAAGUGUGCGGGGAGAAAGCAAGCAUGUACAGCACCAGUUCACAAUUCUCCAGAGGUUUGGAUGAUCAUUGGAAUGCCGUCAAUGAUAAUGCUCAACCAUUUUCUUUAUUGUAAAUUAUCAUCUCUUUUUGUACUGCUGCAAUGGAAAUGUUAAAAGUAGAAAGUGAACAGUAGUAAAAUCUGUUUGUUCCUGGGCCUUCAUUGAUCUAGCCACCAGAUGAGUAAAUUAACAAACAAUGGCACAAGGGAUGCAGACCCCAACCUAAGGAUACAAAUAAAUUCUGAUCUCCUCUAUCCUGUUGACUCACCCAGGCG